AUGUCUCCCUCUCCGGGAACACUGCAGCAGGGCAGCACGGGCCGCUCCUACCACCCACCCCCCUCGCGCGGUCGCGGAACCCAAGAAAUACCACCGGGCAGCUCCGCCUCACCACACCGCUCGCCGCCCCUUGCCCCUCUGCACAGAGCCGGGCAGCAUCAACAACAACAGCUCAGCAGCAAAAACAGCUUACUGGCAAACUCACUUCUAGAGAUCCUAAGAGGCUACAUACUCGACGGCGAAAAAUGCGCCCUUUACAAGGCAGAGGUUGCCUCACUGGCUAGACGAGGCUGUUCGGUUCUUACUGUCGACUUUGAGCACCUCCUUACCAAUAUUGAUCUCGCUCUCGCCAUUGGCAAUGACAAUGACAGCUCAUAUCAGUGGCUAAGAUCAGUGGUACGUGCCUUCUUCAAUGAGCAGUGCAAUGAGAUGAAGAACGAGCAGAGGAAGAAAUUUGUUGAGGGGGCUAGUGUUUCUUUCAGUAACAAGCCUAUAGAAGUUUUCCCACUGACAGAAGUCAAGGCAAAAAAAGAAGACCUUGUGAGGAUCAUUAAAAUCAUCCGUGGACAGGAAACAUGUAGAGCUGCAAGCACUUUUGGCACGGAAUUAUAUUUGGCCAUCUUGCUAUUUGUGCUUGGCAAGCACAGGGUUGGGCAAAGCUGGGAUGGCGACUUUGCCGAGCAGGACGUCUAUUUCUUCAGAUAUCUAGGCCGGCCGUUGGAGUGCCGCAUUCUGAAAAGCACAACGCCAAGUCCCGUGGCACUUUCUAAACGAGACAUCUUCAAUCUUGAGCAGUGCACACCCUUGGAGAGGAAGAACGAUUUUGGGACAGUGGACGUGCUCAUGACACCAAAUUAUGAGGAUGCAGAUGGCAAGUUGCCUGUCUUUCUUGAUGAAUUGCAUGAGGACUUGAAGGACGCACUGCCUUCAACUGUUGUCCAACAAUGGUUCAUUGGGAAUCUGGAAUUCAAUUUGGCUUUAAUGUCAUCCGCGGCAAGGAAGAUUCUGACGGUUGCCAUCAGUAAUCUAAUCAGAUCGCUCAAGUUGUCCUCCAACGAAGAUUAUCGCAGGAUAUUGACGGAACCACCAUAUCCGCGUGAUUGGCGUGUGAGGUUUCAAGAUGAUGAGGGUGUAAUGGGAGGCAUCUAUUGGUACGAGAAUGAAGAGAGAGAUAAAGAUAAGAAUCUAUACAAAAAUACUAUGGAAAGUGUGAUUGAGUAUGCAAAGAACACUCAUGACCACUGCCAUAAGUAUUUGGAGGGUGAAAAGCGGCUAGAUGAUUUUGAUGAAAGCGAGUUGCUCAUAGCUGUAAAGCUGCCCGGGGUGUUAGGAAAGCUAGUGAAAGAUCUCAUGAAGCUAAACUUGAUGGAGGACUUGCUGGCGGAAGUGAGGGCCAUCUAUUGUUCAUCCAGGUCAGCUCAAAAGGAGCCAGCAACGGCAAUGCUGUAUGUGCACGACGAGGUGCAUGGGACACAAAAUGAGACCACGGAACAAAGUGGAGAACGCUGA
rnacentral:rRNA from 1 species